rnacentral:rRNA from 1 species
AUAGUUAAUUUUAAUCCAACAUCGAGGUCGCAAUCUCUUUUAUCAAUUAGAACUCUCCAAAAAAAUUACGCUGUUAUCCCUAAGGUAAUUUAAUCUACUAAUCAUAAAUAAUGGAUCAAAUAAUCAUAAAUAAAUGUUUUAUAAAUAUAAAAGUUAAUUAAAUUUUAAAAUCACCCCAAUCAAAUUAUAUUUUAUAAUAAUAAAUAUAAAAUUCUUAAAUAAAAAUAUUAUAAAUUAAAUUAAACUCUAUAGGGUCUUCUCGUCUUUUAAUUAAAUUUAAGCUUUUUAACUUAAAAAUAAAAUUCUACGUAAACUAUAAAUAGACAGUCUUUUUCUCAUUCAACCAUUCAUACAAGCUUUCAAUUAAAAAACUAAUGAUUAUGCUACCUUUGUACAGUCAAAAUACUGCAGCUAUUUAAUUAAUCAUUGAGCAGGUUAGACCUUAAAUCAUAUUCAAAAGGAC